ACAUCCAGAGAAUUUAGCAGAGAUGCUUUAGUGCCUUCGGGAACUCUGAGACAGGUGCUGCAUGGCUGUCGUCAGCUCGUGUUGUGAAAUGUUGGGUUAAGUCCCGNAACGAGCGCAACCCUUAUCCUUUGUUGCCAGCACGUAAUGGUGGGAACUCAAAGGAGACUGCCGGUGAUAAACCGGAGGAAGGUGGGGAUGACGUCAAGUCAUCAUGGCCCUUACGAGUAGGGCUACACACGUGCUACAAUGGCGCAUACAAAGAGAAGCGACCUCGCGAGAGCAAGCGGACCUCAUAAAGUGCGUCGUAGUCCGGACUGGAGUCUGCAACUCGACUCCAUGAAGUCGGAAUCGCUAGUAAUCGUAAAUCAGAAUGUUACGGUGAAUACGUUCCCGGGCCUUGUACACACCGCCCGUCACACCAUGGGAGUGGGUUGCAAAAGAAGUAGAUAGCUUAACCUUCGGGAGGGCGUUUACCACUUUGUGAUUCAUGACUGGGGUGAAGUCGUAACAAGGUAGGCGUAGUGCU
rnacentral:rRNA from 1 species